AUCCUUGCUCGGUUCGGCAGGGUAUAUAGGAAAAUCGGAACGAUACAGCUAUUCGCCCGGCCCCUGUGCGAGGAUGAUACACAAAUUCUUGAAGCAUUCCAUACGUGU
rnacentral:snRNA from 1 species